AUUGAACGCUGGCGGCAGGCCUAACACAUGCAAGUCGAGCGAGCGGCGGACGGGUGAGUAAUGUAUGGGGACUGCCCGAUAGAGGGGGGUAACUACUGGAAACGGUAGCUAAUACCGCAUAUUAUCUGAUUACUCCUAUGGGAUUAGCUCGUAGGUGAGGUAAUGGCUCACCUCGGUGACGAUCCCUAGCUGGUCUGAGAGGAUGAUCAGCCACACUGGGACUGAGACACGGCCCAGACUCCUACGGAGGCAGCAGUGGGGAAUAUUGCACAAUGGGCGCAAGCCUGAUGCAGCCAUGCCGCGUGUAUGAAGAAGGCCCUAGGGUUGUAAAGUACUUUCAGUCGGGAGGCGUUACCGACAGAAGAAGCACCGGCUAACUCCGUGCCAGCAGCCGCGGUAAUAC
rnacentral:rRNA from 1 species